UUUGUGAAAUUGUGAAGUAGUGCGGGAAAUAGAAAGAGAAAAUAUUGAAACGGGAGAAAGUGAAAGAGUCUUCAAUCACAACGAAGCGAGCUUGAGUCUUCAAACACAGUUUGUUGUUGAUGUUUCUGAGGUGUGAAGGGGCUAGGGGCAUGGAUGAAGAUCAAAUAGAAGGUUGUGUGAGUGGGUAUUUGAAGCAGAAAGGGUUUACGCAAAACGAUGACCAACUUCAACUCACCAACACCGAUUCAUCUCUCCAACCUGAUACUAUCAAUCGCGGCCUAUUCAUUGUCUGUUCUGUAAGAAAAGCAUGGGAAUUUGUACUGUGAUGGUGCAUUUUUACUCGAUAGAGAUUUCCUCCCACACUGCCAUGCCUUGCUAAUCACUUUGCUCAUAUUGGAGAGAGGUUCUGCUAGAUACCAUGAUGGGUAUGGUAGACUAAGAUCGUGGGCAUACAGAUCACUUGACUCAUACAAGCAUGAGUUGCUGCGUGUGCUUUAUCCACUAUUUUUCCAUUGCGUCAUGGAUCUUGUGGCAAAAGGGCAUAUUCAGGAAGCUUGAAACUUUUUCAACACCUUUCGUGAAGACCAUGAAAUGAUGCACUCACGAGACCUUCAAAAGUUAGAACUUGUUCUUUCUCCUACUCAUUUGGAGUGUGUGCAGUGGCAUUCCAACUGCAACCACAUUGCUACUGGCUCCAGUGACUAAACAGUUCGACUAUGGGAUGUGCAGAGUGGGGAAUGUGUUUGGGUUUUCAUUGGUCACAGGAGUAUGAUUUUAUCUUUGGCAAUGUCUCCUGAUGGCCUCAAUUUGGCAUCUGGUGAUGAAGACGGCACAAUCAUGAUUUGGGACCUCUCUAGUGGCUGUUGCAUCACGCCUUUAGUUGGUCACACCUCAUGUGUCUGGUCACUCACUUUCAGUUGUGAAGGUUCUCUUCUAGCAUCUGGAUCCGCGGAUUGCACUGUCAAGUUUGGGGAUGUAACUACAGGUAUAAAAGUUCCAAGGAAUGAAGAAAAAAGUGGGAAUACUAACAGACUCAGAUCAUCGAAAAGCCUGCCUACCAAAUCUGCUUCAGUUUACUCUCUCCAGUUUUCUAGAAGGAAUCUUCUUUUUGCAGCUGGAGCUAUUGCAAAAAGUGGCUGAUAGUGUGUCUUCAAAUUUCAAAGUGACAAUUCUGACUUGAAAACCAAAACUAAUGCUGUGUUAUACAGUUUCAUUUGUAAAUUUAUUUAGAGUAAAUUGAAUUGAAAUAUACCGUCGGCAAGUUUUGUAAUUUAUUGUAAAAUUAUUCAGAGAUCGGAGGAAUUACUUUCUAUUCAAGGUUUAUUCUCAUUUGUUUCUUUAAA